rnacentral:rRNA from 1 species
ACGGAAGGCAGCAGUGGGGAAUAUUGCACAAUGGGGGAAACCCUGAUGCAGCGACGCCGCGUGAGUGAUGAAGUAUUUCGGUAUGUAAAGCUCUAUCAGCAGGGAAGAAAAUGACGGUACCUGACUAAGAAGCACCGGCUAAAUACGUGCCAGCAGCCGCGGUAAUACGUAUGGUGCAAGCGUUAUCCGGAUUUACUGGGUGUAAAGGGAGCGUAGGCGGCAUGGCAAGCCAGAUGUGAAAGCCCGGGGCCCAACCCCGGAACUGCAUUUGGAACUGUCAGGCUAGAGUACCGGAGAGGUAAGCGGAAUUCCUAGUGUAGCGGUGAAAUGCGUAGAUAUUAGGAGGAACACCAGUGGCGAAGGCGGCUUACUGGACGGUAACUGACGCUGAGGCUCGAAAGCGUGGGGAGCAAACAGGAUUAGAUACCCUGGUA